rnacentral:rRNA from 1 species
UAUGUAGGUGGUUAAGUAAGCGUAGGGUUUAAGGCGACAGCCCAACUGUCGUAUGCCCCGCGAACUGUUUAACUUGAGUACAGGAGGGGAAGGCGGAAUUCCUAGUGUAGCGGUGAAAUGCGUAGAUAUUAGGAGGAACACCAGUGGCGAAGGCGGCCUUCUGAACUGUAACUGACACUGAGAUACGAAAGCGUGGGUAGCAAACA